GUGGUAUUUCUGGAUCCUUACCAUGGCAGUGAUGGUAUAUGCCUUCUCUCAAAAUAUGUGGUAUUUGUGGUAUAAGGCAUAGUGACAUUGCCUUCUCUCUCACCCUACUCUAAUAAGGCUUUAAUAUCUGGGGCUCAUAGGUGGGAGAUAAAAUAUAUAUACUCACAAGACAUUUAUUGUAUAGUCAAACCAUGGAUCCAAAGAAACAAAUCAAUAAGCCAAAUCAAGAUGUGCAUGUGUGGCGAAUGGAUGGUGUAUGGUGAUGAUAGUGAUAACAAUGGUGAGAGUCUAAUUCUACUUUUGCUCUUUUGAGGGGAUACAUACCUUUCUUGCUCUUUGAAACUUUUGGCGGAGAAUGAGAUGCUCUGUAUUUUCUUUUCUCUCAGGUGGGUAUCUUGUACCCCUAAUUCUACUGUCGGACACUUGUCCAUUUUUACCUCUCGUCUCACUUUUUCUUUUCUUUCAAGGUUCCGGGCACUUGCCCCUUUUUAUUUCCUCGUAUCUUUCUUUUUUUUAGAGCACUCAUCUCUUGAGAUAAUAUAGCAAGUGGCAGUAACCAAGAUAACUUGAGCAUUUAUUUCAUAGGGGAAAAGAAAUAUUUUUGGCUAUUCUCUCCUGGAUUAGGAGUAGAAUAUUUUUGGGUGGUUCUGGAGAUGGAAAUGGAUGGAUAUAUGUGGAUGCGUACUUCCAGAGUAGAAGCACCAUAUGUGAGUGAACGUGCAAGUGAAUCUUGAUUUUAACCACAUGACAAGCACCUAAGGGUCUACACAGCUUGACCAUACUCAAUGCUUCUAAGUAGUAAAAGUAAAUGUGUGGCUCAAAGUCUAGCAAGCAUGUAUAUAUGGCUGUGGUAGGAAUUUAAACUCUCAUCAUACAGGAACUCAUCAUGCAAUAUUUUAAAGAUUUUCAAAGAUAAAAUUCUCCAGAAUUCUAGCAUUUCUAGGAAUAGAUAAACAGCAGCUCAACCUUCCCAUAUCAUAUCCGUUAACAACCUAGACUUCAAAUCAAGUUUCCUUCCCACAAGUUUAGGUUUAGAGCAAGCUUUAAAUUAUAACAGUUAUGUCUAAACUUGAGAGAGAACUUCAAAAUUUGAAAAUUAGGCAAAGCAACUAUUCAUCAUAUCCAUGCUAGAGUUUUAUUAUUAAGAUUCAGUUUAGCAUAGCCACUUUAUUUAUUUAGAAAACACACUAAGCAAAAGAUAUAUAUAUGAUCACAAAAUCUUUAUUUGGUUUUCCAUAGUUAUGUAUAUUUAUAUUAUAGUAUAAGUAUAAAGAUAGAUAGAAAUACUUAGCGGGAUAAAUGGGGGUGCUCUCCCCCAAGCUGAAUUUUGACGUAAUUUCUCUUGAUGUAGCUAGCAGGUGGCGGAGGUGUAUUUGAAAGUCGGCAGCACCCUGACAGCGAUUAGAAUGUCCUCCGUCUGCUAGUCUUCUUGAUUCUUAAAUUCUGUGGAGCUCAAAUAGACAACAAAGCUUUGUGGAACUGAUUAAGUGUUAGCAUAAAUAUCUAGCCUUUAUCAUGUUGAGCCUCCUCAAUAAAUAUUACUCUCUAUUUUUAUAUUUUCGUUUUAUAAAGCAGAAAAGAAAUAUUUAUUUUAUUUUUAUGCCACCACAGUGAAUGUACUUAUGGGUUUUAUGCCACUCGUAUACUCACAUGGGGCUUACUGUUUUUUAACAUUUUUAUUUUCUUUUUAGGAUAGUAUAAACCUGAUUAACUAAGCAAACUAGUUGAAAUAAUUGAAAGGAAAAAGAUAACUACCAAGUUUACCUCUUGGCAAGGCGUUCGGUGUUUUUAAGUCCUCCGAACGGGACUUCUCCGUUUUCUAGUUGUCGUGGGAUUCGUUGGGUGGCGUAGUCGGUGCUUCCGGCGGCGCCUCUUCUUCAUGUAUAAUUAUCUUCUCUCUCCACACCUGACUCGGUGCUACGGUCUCCUCUGGAUAAUUUUGUUUAAACUGAAUGUCUUCUGACCUUAUCACUUCUCCUUCAUAGUCUGCCCAUCCAUCCUUGAUAAUUUUCCUCGUCUGGUUGCGGUUGCGUCGUUUUCUUCUUGUCCUGACCUGCUUAGAGUCUUCAACGAUAUAGUUAGGGUCACUAAAAUAGCGGCGUACCUUCUGUUGACGGUCUUUAAGUACCAAAUAUAAUCAUCAAAUAAAUAAAGAAAAGGAUCCAAAUGCAACCAACACCCAGACUUAGGGUUUUAUCUGACAGAAUUCCACGAGUUUUGGUGUUUGUCUAUUUCUGCAGGGGGUUAUCAGGAAAUAAGGAAGAAAGGCCCACAUGUCGGGAUUAUAUAGAGAUAUCAACGCACCGCGCAAUUUUCUACCAUCUAGAAGACUCCAGAAGCCACGGGAAGAAAGCAGAGGCCGAAAGGGGCCAGGCCCAGGGCGCCCGCCCACCUCUGGACUCCGUUCGGGACUCUCUUCGCACACAAUGUUCCACCGACCUAAAGGAUCAAGGAUAACGUAGUACCACAUCGCCUACCGACCCAAAAACGCAUAGAGGAGGAGGACUAUAUAAGGAGACCCCCCUAGCCCCUGGAGAAGACAUGAAGUUUAUCAUAGAGUUGGGGGUGCCCUCGAAGGAAAACCUCUUCUCUAAAUAGAAUUUCUUUUUAGGCUUAGCAACCAAUGUGAGUAGAAAUAGAUCUUCUAGUUUCUACUAGAUUGAGAGAGAUAGAGUGGAGGUGUAGAUCAGAGGAAGGCCGGCCUGUCGGUGUCUACUCCGAAUUGUACCUGCGGGAUCAAGUCUUCUAACCCGAGGCUUGCUUCUAAGAUUCUUCAGUAAUUCGACUUCUAAUUCUAGUAAGUUCUUGUUUUAUUGUUCUUUGGUCUAUGAGUUUACUUUAAUCCUCUUCCGGUUGAGUAUUAGAGUAAUCAUUGCUAGCGUAAACAUGGUGUUUAGGCUAGGGUACUCAUAGAUAUCCCCUGACUAGCUGGACCGUGGUAGUAGCGAGGAACGUGACAUUUCCGAGUUACCUUUGCAUCCCACAUCUCGUUAGCAGGACGGGUAGGUUUAUAGGUGCGGGUCGAACAUCCUUUGUGGUGUCUAGAUUCCGUCAGCUUCCCUAAUAGAACAGUAGAUCAUCCUUACCAAGGUUAGAACGAGACUACGGUUGCAGUCUUCUUUAUACAUUGCUCACAUCGAGAAACAUUCUUUGUAGCCUAAAGGGAUAGUAGCAAUAGAUUUGGUUAGUCAGAUGCACCCUUUCUCCCAGUGGUAAAAAUAUAAAUACGAUAACUCUGGAUAACCUCCCGGGUGAAAUGCUCACCGAUAUCCGUGCGCUUGCGGAUCAUUUCCUUAUUGCGUUACCAAAUAUCAACAAUCAUUUCUGGCGCCGUUGCCGGGGAGAAAGACGGUUUGCUGAGAUAACUUUGAGUCUUGCUAUUAUCUUGUAUUAUACUUUUAUACUUUUAUUCUUUUAUCUUUUUAUAUUUAUGGAUAACUUAAAUUCCAUACCUAUUAUUGAAUUCUUUGCACCUUCGGAGACCAGCCAUAGACCAUGGGAGUCAACAAGUCCUGCCCCUAAUUAUGAUCUGAGUCCGGAGUUGAUUGCAAUAGGUCAAAACCAACCCUUUUCUAUAGCCGAGGUCCUAUCUUUUAAUCAAGAAGAUAAUGCACUUUUAGCUACAACUAGGGAAUCUGUUAGUCUUUCUAUAAAUUCUGGUUUAGACCUAGCCCUACAAGACCAUGUUUUUUCUCGAUAUUUUCACAUUGGUCUUAAUUAUAUAACCAUUGGUAGAGUCUUUCUUUCUUUAUCUAUUAGUAAAGGAAGGUAUGUUUUCAUUCGUGGACAUCCUUCUUGUACUAGUCUUCAUAGAAAAAUCUUAGAGAUAGAGAAGGAAUCAUCUCCCAGACGAGGAAAGGAAGUUUCAAUAGCCAAUUUCCAAACAUUUCAAUCCCAUGAUUCGGCUAUCCAUCCCAUCCUUGAGCUUAAUAGUUUCUACUAUGCUCUUUCUCUUGAACCUCUCGAUAAUCCUAUGAAUCUCUCUAGACAUCCCAUGCAUAAGAAGGAGGAUCGAGAAGAGCAACAUCAAUGGCUUGAGGGCAUUAAAAAUCCAUGUGCUAUCACCAUUGAAUGGAUAGAUAAAACAAACUUGAGAGACAAUCCUAGAGGAAUUUUAAGCAUUUGUGAAGAAUCAUCCUUGGAGUUUGAGAAUGAGAGAAACAACAGUGAGCAUGGAAGUUAUUUCAUAAAUACCUCACCAAGUCCUUGCUCAUAUAAAACAUCUCCCCAAUCAAUUGGUCUCUCCAACAUCACCACAUUUGAGAUCUCCAACCCCCUCUUCUUUUCUAUUUAUAAAAACUUUAAAAGGGCGGUUGUCGAUGCAUAUGUCUAUAAUAAAUAUUGUAGAUCUCGUUGAGUUGAUCUUGAUAUAGGUCAGCGUUGGAGGGGAAACCACUUCGCCGACAUAAUUUGAUGGUUUCGCAAGGAUAAGCUUAGCGUCCUUAAACAAGCACUUAUCAGAUCGUAACAUGAAUUUGCAACAUUGCCUCGUGUAUUGAGCAUAUUGAGAUAAUUGUAGAAAUAUUCCUUCGGGUAUUCUUGCCACUAACCUUUCCAGGAUUGGAGCAAGAAGAUCGGAUGAAUGACAAGCACAAGGUAUGUCCAACCAACCAUCACACAACAUUAAAUUAAAUUCAUCUAAUCUUGAAUUUUGCAAAUUCAAGCUUGGUGGAAAUACCUUACAUCAUUUUCCAUGUUGCUAUGUUGGUUGUCCUUACCUUUGAGACUUGCUCAAUUUGUUAAGUACUAAUCACACUACUUCAUCUCCACUUGAGUAGAUCUCUAUAAAUGCUAUCAUGCUACCUUUAUCUAUUUACUAGCAAGUGUUGGUUUGGAAGUACUCGACAUACUUCCAUUGGCAUUUAAAUUAAGCAUGGUGCUUAGGUUAAAUAGCCUUCCUUAAUCUGAUUAGACAUGGAGUCUAGUUUGGUUACUGAACUAAAAACUGCUUGAGUAGAUAUUGGUAUAUUUUGUGGGACUAACCCCUGCAGGAAAACUUUCAAUAUCAACCUGGGAAGUCCUGAGAUAAACUCACAUUGGAGAUGAAGAAAGUGACACAUGAAGUUUAACAAUUUGCACAAGAAAGACGUAGCUCAUAAGAGAUGAUUCAUGGAGGGUGCCACAAACACGAUGCACAACCGCUAAGAAAAGGAGAGCUUCCACAAGGUGAUACUACUCCAUCACUCUUCAAGUAAGGUAACAUCUUAAGGUACUUGACUAUUGCUUUUAUAAGCUUCUCCUUGGUUCUAACAUUCACAUAAAUAAAGAGACAAACAUGUAUGAUUUGUAGCUCCAAAUUAACCAACCCAACUGAUUCAGCAUGUUUAGUCCUUUACUCUGUGUUCUUAGUACUACCUUCGUGAUCCCACGCUCCUAAUCAUAUAAGCUAAUAUGUUGCACAUUCAAUCUUUGGAAGAUAUAAACAAAAUAUAUAUAUAGAUAGAUUAUCUUUCCAUUAGGUCAAGCAAAUCUGAUCUGGCAAAUGUUUUAAAUGCUACACUCAUGAUCCAUCAACUUUGUCUUGCUCACUAUGUUUAAGGUUAGAGAAGAACAAUUACACUUCUGGUUCUGUUGGUGUUUUCCACCAACAGGGCCCAUGCACUUGAUCUCUGCCUUGUCUCUAUGAAUAGGUACACUUCAAGCAAAACAUGGAGGAGUUUUACAACUCCCAGACUCCACCAAGUGAAGGACCUGGAUCUAUGAGCACAAACACACUGAGCAGGAUAUUGCCAACACCGCACUUCGAACUGCUGGGCAAUCAAAGAAUAUAGGUGACACCGUAUCAAGAAGUGCAGACGUCAAGGUCCACACCUGAUCAAAUGAUGCACCUAAAGGAUGAAGACAGUGAGAAUUCUUGUCCAGAAGAUUUAAAACUUUGGAUCCUUGUCGGAGGAGGUCAAGAUCGUCGACUCAAGUCACCUUUCUUCAUCAAGAAGGAUGACCCUGGUGUUCCAAGCAUUGAGUGCACAAUCAACAGAUACUCUUUUUAGAAGACACUCUACGACACCGGAUCUGACGUCAACAUAAUGGCCGCAGUCACUUAUCAGCUCCUGCAUGGAACCAUGCCUCUACAACCAAUAUAUAUUCAGCUCCAGAUGAUUUUCAGAUCAUUGACGUGGGAGAAGACGAGUACGAUCCACCCAUCAUCCUUGGAAGACCAUUCUUCAACACUAUCAAAGUUAUCAUCUACAUUGGAAUGAGAGAAGUCCACGUGUACUUCCCCUCUGAGAAGGUACGCCGCUAUUUUACUGACCCUAACUAUAUAGUUGAAGACUCUAAGCAGGUCAGGACAAGAAGAAGACAAUGCAACCGCAACCAGAGGAGGCAAAUCAUCAAGGACGGAUGGGUAGACUACGAAGGAGAAGUGAUAAGGUCUGAAGACAUAUAGCUUGAACAGAACUGUCCUGAGGAGACCGUAGCACCGAGUCAGGUGUGGAGAGAGAAUAUAGUUACACACAAAGAGGAGGCGCCGCCGAAACCACCGACUACGCCAUCCAGCGAAUCCCAGGACGACUGAGAAAACGGAGAGUCCCGUUCGGAGGAAUUAAAAAUACCGAACGCCUUGCCAAGAGGUAAACUUGGUAGUUAUCCUUUUCCAUUCAAUAGUUUGCUUAGUUAAUCAGGUUCAUGCUAUCUUGAAAAGAAAAUAAAAAUGUUAAAAAAAUAGUAAGCCCCAUGUGAGUAUGCUCAUGGCAUAAAACCCAUAAGUACAUUCACUGUUGUGGCAUAAAAAUAAAAUAAAUAAUUUUUCAUCUUACAAUAAAAAUAUAAAAAUAAUAAGUGCAUGAUCCUGCUAAAUAAGUAAUAUUUAUUGAGGAGGCUCAACAUGAUAAAGGCUAGAUAUUUAUGCUAACACUUAACCAGUUCCACAAAGCUUUGUUGUCUAUUUGAGCUCCACAGGAUUCAAUGAUCAAAAAAGACUAGCAGACGGAGGACAUCCUAAUAGUUGUCAGGGUGCUGCCGACUUUCAAAUACACCUCCAUCACCUGCUAGCUACAUUAGAAGAAAUUACGUCAAAAUCCAGCUUGGGGGAGAGCACUCUCACUUAUCCAGCUAAGUGUUUCUACUCGUGUUUAUACUUUACUCAAAUAAUAAAAGAUGCAUAGUCAUGAAAACCCAAAUAAAGAUUUUGUGCUUUUAUAUAUAUAUCUUUGCUUAGUUUGCUAAAUAAAUAAAUAAAUAAAGUUUGCUAUGAACCCUCAUGAUAAACUCUCACAUGGAAAUGAUGAAUAGUUGCUCUGCCAUGACUAGUUCUUAAAAUUGAAAUCUCUCUCAAGUUUAGGCAUAACUUUUAUAAUUUAAAGCUUGCUCUAAACCUGAACUUGUGGGAAGAGUACUUGAUCUAAAGUCUAAGUUGUUAACGGAUAUGAUAUGGGAAGGUUGAGCUGCUGUUUAUCUGUUCCUAGAAAUGCUAGAAUUCUGGAGAAUUUUAUCUUUAAAAAUAUUUAAAAUAACACAUGAUGAGUUCCUGUAUGAUGAGAGUUUAAAUUCCUACCACAGCAAUAUAUACAUGCUUGCUAGACUUUGAGCCACACAUUUACUUUUUACUGCUUAUGAGCAUUGAGUGUGGUCAAGCUGUGUAGACCCUUAGGAGCUUGUCAUGUGGUUAAAAUCAAGAUUCACUUGCAUGUUCACUCGUAUAUGCUGCUUCUACUCCGGAAGUACGCAUCCACAUACAUCCACUCAUUUCCAUCUCCAGAUUCACCCAAAAUUAUUCUACUCCUAAUCCGGGAGAGCAUAGCCAAAAACAUUUUCCUAUCCCUAUUAUUCCCUGUGAAAUAAAUGCUCCAGUUAUUUUGGUUACUACCACUUGCUACAUUCUUUCAGGAGAUGAGUGCUCUAAAAAAAAGAGAGAAAAAAAAUAAUACGAGGAAAUAAAAAGGGGCAAGUGCUCGGAACCUCGAAGAAAAGAAAAAGUGAGACGAGAGGUAAAAAUGGACAAGUGUCCGACAGUAGAAUUAGGGGUACAAGAUACCCACCUGAGAGGAAAGAAAAAGAAAAUAUAGAGCAUCUCAUUCUCCCCAAUAAGCUUCAAAGUGCAAGAAAGGUAUGUAUCCCCUUAAAAGAGCAAAAAUAGAAUUAGACUUUCACCAUUGUUAUCACCAUCAUCGCCAUACACCAUUCAUUCGCCACACAUGCACAUCUUGAUUUGACUUAUUGACUUGUUUCUCUGGAUCCAUGGUUUGACUAUGCAAUAAAUGUCUUGUAAGUGUGUAUUAGCUGUCUCCCACCUACGAGCUCCAGAUAUCAAAACCUUAUUAGAGUAGGGUGAGAGAGAAAGCAAUAUCACUAUGCCUCAUACCAUAAAUACUACAUACUUUGAGAGAAGGCAUAUACCAUUACUGCCUUGGCAAGGAUCCAGAAAUACCACAAAAGAGAGAUUUGAGAGAAUCAUAUAAGGAAUCUCUGAGUUUUAUUUGAAAAUCUGCAAAAACUCCAGAGCUAUAGCUGAUCAAGAAUAAGAAACAUGGCGCUUGACUUGACCGUUCUAUCUUUUAACUGCUCAAGACACAAGUGACGGUUACAAGCCCCAUGGUGAAAGGUAAAAUGAGUAAGUUUUAUGUCUUAAUAGUUUAUUCUAACUCAGAGAUGAGAUAUUGCUUGAAUGCCUGUGUACUUUUAAGGCAUGAAACCACUGCAGAAACUCUUGAGUUCAUCCUUGCUCAGGGACGAGCAAGAGGUAAGCUUGGGGGAGUUGUUGAUGGUCCUUAAGUACCAAAUAUAAUCAUCAAAUAAAUAAAGAAAAGGAUCCAAAUGCAACCAACACCCAGACUUAGGGUUUUAUCUGACAGAAUUCCACGAGUUUUGGUGUUUGUCUAUUUCUGCAGGGGGUUAUCAGGAAAUAAGAAAGAGAGGCCCACAUGUCGGGAUUACAUAGAGAUAUCAACGCACCGCGCAAUUUUCUACCAUCUAGAAGACUCUAGAAGCCACGGGAAGAAAGCAGAGGCCGAAAGGGGCCAGGCCCAGGGCGCCCGCCCUGAGGACCUGGGCGCCCGCCCACCUCUGGACUCCAUUCGGGACUCUCUUCGCACACGAUGUUCCACCGACCCAAAAACGUAUAGAGGAGGAGGACUAUAUAAGGAGACCCCCCUCGCCCCUGGAGAAGACAAGAAGUUUAUCAUAGAGUUGGGGGGUGCCCUCGAAGGAAAACCUCUUCUCUAAAUAGAAUUUCUUUUUAGGCUUAGCAACCAAUGUGAGUAGAAAUAGAUCUUCUAGUUUCUACUAGAUUGAGAGAGAUAGAGUGGAGGUGUAGAUCGGAGGAAGGCUGGCCUGUCGGUGUCUACUCCGAGUUGUACCUGUGGGAUCAAGUCUUCUAACCCGAGGCUUGCUUCUAAGAUUCUUCAGUAAUUCGACUUCUAAUUCUAGUAAGUUUUUGUUUUAUUGUUCUUUGGUUUAUGAGUUUACUUUAAUCCUCUUCCGGUUGAGUAUUAGAGUAAUCAUUGCUAGCGUAAACGUGGUGUUUAGGCUAGGGUACUCAUAGAUAUCCCCUGACUAGCUGGACCGUGGUAGUAGCGAGGAACGUGACAUUUCCGAGUUACCUUUGCAUCCCACAUCUCGUUAGCAGGACGGGUAGGUUUAUAGGUGCUGGUCGAACAUCCUUUGUGGUGUCUAGAUUCCGUAAGCUUCCCUAAUAGAACAGUAGAUCAUCCUUACCAAGGUUAGAACGAGACUACGGUUGCAGUCUUCUCUAUACAUCGCUCACAUCGAGAAACAUUCUUUGUAGCCUAAAGGGAUAGUAGCAAUAGAUUUGGUUAGUCAGAUGCACCCUUUCUCCUAGUGGUAAAAAUAUAAAUACGAUAACUCUGGAUAACCUCCCGGGUGAAAUGCUCACCGAUAUCCGUGCGCUUGCGGAUCAUUUCCUUAUUGCGUUACCAAAUAUCAACACCUUCUCUCAGGGGAAGUGCAUAUGGACUUCUCCAGUUCCAAUGUAGAUAAUUGCUUUAAUGGUGCUGAGGAAUGGUCUUCCAAGGAUGAUGGGUGGAUUGUAUUCGUCUUCUCCCAUGUCAAUAACCUAAAAGUCUGUGUAGACAAAAUGAUCGUCUAUUUUGACUAGGACAUCAGUCACUGUACCUUUAACAUCUCGAAAUAUCUGAUCUGCCAUCUGGAGCUGAAUGUAUGUUGGUUUUAAGGGCAUGGUUCCGAACAAGAGCCGAUAGGUGACUGCGGCCAUUAUGUUGACGCCCGAUCCUGUGUCGCAAGUCGUCUUGUAGAAGUUAUAUCCAUUUAUGGAGCAAUAGAUGCUUAGCAUUCCUGGGUCGUCCUUCUUGGUCAGAAACGGUGACUUAAGUCGAUGAUCUUGACCCCCAUGAACUGCAGUGACCAUCUUAGCUGACUCGGUCCACACUUGCUUGUUCCUGUUUCUCCUGUUGGUCCUCUACCUUGGUUCACGUCUGGAUUGCUCUGGAAGUUGUGUAGUCUUGUUCUUGAAGGAAAAUGUCUUCUUCCUCCCUUUGAUGUAGAAACUAAUCUUGGCAGCACUAGCGUAGAUGACAGCUCCCGAGAUGUUCAAGAAUGGCCUCCCUAAGAUAAUGGGUGCCCUCUCAUCAUUACCGGUCUCUAUCACCACGAAGUAUGCUGGGGCGUAUAAGGUACCAACUCGGACACAAAGGUUCUUCAAUAUUCCUUUUGGAAAACUUAUCGUCUGAUCUACAAACUGCAAACACAUAGGUUUUUCUAAUAAAGGAUAUGUAAAGAUUUUUUCAUAGAGUACCCUAGGCAUAAUGUUGACACUAGAGCCAAAGUCGCAGAGUUCUUCUAGGAAGUCCACCAUGCCGAUGGAGAUCGGGAUGACGGGGCGUCUUGGAUCACCUCUCUUGACCGGCAGAAGGUCAGUAGUAACUUCAGUGACGGGGUUACUCCAGUUACCUGCAUCAAACAUGUCUACAAGAUUUGCAGAUUCUAAUCCUUCCGGUUGUGAUGGUAUACCGGGGUUAGUAGCAGGAACAGUAGCAGCUAUUUGAUUUAACUGAGAUUCAAUCAUUUUAUUAAAGCUAAUUUGAUUCUUGAUGGCUGUAGAGAAAUUAUCCAUUCUAUUAUUUAUAUUCUCUAGCAUUUUAUCAUUAGAUGCCAAUUUCUUAGAUAGGUUAUUCAUUAGCUUUCCUUGAUUAGACACUAACUCUCUCAAAGGUGGAAAAUUAUUAUUACUAUUGAAAGAAUUAUUACCUUGAUAAUUACCUGAGUAGUUAGGCCUCUGUUGAUUAUAACCUUGAUUUUGUUGAGGACGGUUGCAGUAGUUGUUGUUGUUAUUGUUGUUGAUGUAGUUCACAUCCUCAAGCAUCUCAGGGCAGUGAUUGCCUGAGUGUCUAGUGUCUCCACACUCCUCACAAGUGAUGUGAGAGUCGUAGAUGUGCAUAACUUCUUUCUUAUCUCUAGCUCUAUCAUCGAGCUUCUUCAUAAGAAGGUCUAGCUUUGCAGACAGCAUGUCUACCUCCUUGAGCUGAUGCAUACCUCCACCUCUCUUGCGUGUCUGGGUCCUUUCUUCAUUCCAGCUUUGGUUGGACGCCAUCUUCUCCACAAGGGCUGUGGCUUGUGAUAUGGUGAGUGAUAGGAAUGCUCCUCCAGCUGCAGCAUCCAUGGUUUCUCGGGCACUGUUGCCGAGCCCAUGAUAAAACAUCUGCAUCAGUAGCCAACUCUCCAUUCCAUGAAGGGGACAUUCUAGGGUGUAGUCUUGGAAGCGCUCCCAUGCUUCUGGAACGGAUUCAUCAUGUUGUUGCUGAAAACUUGUAAUCUUCCCACAGAGAGCAUUGGUCUUGCCCAUGGGAAAGAACUUAGCCAGAAAGUUCAUGGAGCAGAAUGCCCACGUAGUAUUCUUCUCCUUUGUAGCGUAGAACCACUGCUUCGCUCUUCCCAACAGUGAGAAUGGGAAGAGGCGAAGUAGUAUAGCAUCUCUGGGGACUCCUGAUAUGGUGAAUGUGCUGCCAAUCUCUAGAAAGUGUUGGAGAUGAGCACUAGCAUCUUCAUGUGCCUUCCCACAGGACUGGUUGGAUUGCACCGUGUUGAUAAGUCCAGGCUUGAGCUCAAAGUUGCCGUCGAUCUCUGCAGCAGGUCCAGUGCGGAUUUUGUCCGUAGUGGGAGCUGAGAACUCACGGAUCGAUUUGUUCGCCAUGGCUUCGAAUUCUGAAGACAAGUUCCGGUGAUCUUCUUGAUUGGAUGAAGCUUCGUGCUGAAGUGUUGACGAUCUCUUCUUGAGCUUGGCUCUUGUUUUUCUGAAUAAUGCUUCAGGAUUGUCAACAAAAUUUCCUGGAAGAUGUCUUCUAUUCAUACAUUACCCUGCAUAAGAUAAAAUAGAAAAAUAUCAGGGUAAAACUGUAUGAGAGAAUUGAUAAGCUCAAUCAUAUUAGUGAUGCGAAUGAUAACUCAAAAUUCUAUAUUCAUUCCUGAUUAGUAAUCAACCUUCCCCGGCAACGACGCCAAAAAUGCUUGUUGCGUAUUCUUAACGUCAUUACCAAAGACUUAGUUUUCUAAUUCUCAUAAUGGCGCCAAAAAUGCCAAACCUAUCCCUCAUACAACUUAAGCCAAGUUGUCAUCCCCAGCAUGAUAUGAGAGACGCGGUAUUGAAAUAUGCAAUUGCUCAUCUAAAUAAAUAACAAAUGGAAUCUGCAAGCGCAUAGAUUAAUAACGAUGUAGCAUUUUAACCGGGAAGUAUUCCAGGUAUCGUUAUUUAUAUUUUUGCCACUGAGAAGGGAUUAGUAAUCAUCAAUGUUGAUUAUAGAAUGGAAUAUAAGAUUGAGUAUCUAUCAUUGCAUGUAUUAUUGAGAACAUUUAUCUAACUCUUUCAUACAGGGAUAAGUGUCACAUAAAGGAUAUAUAAAGUAAUGAAUAGUGACAAUAAUAAUUAAUCUGAUCAGCAUAACUUUGCCACAUAAUAAAUAUGAUAAGCACCUCAAUUAGAUAUUCUAGCAAGUCAUUAGCAUGGAAUUAGGACAAACUACAAGAAUAUUUCCUAAGUUAUUCUUAACUAUACAGUCCAGCAUAUCAUAGUUAAUGCAAUUAUACUUAGCAAUCAAUGCGAGAAAGGACUACGCCCACGCAUAGUGAUAUUAGCAAGGAAAAUGAGAAACAUCGUAAUCACUCCCCUGUAAUAAUGCAGCUCUGCCAGCCCAAUAAACGAGAGGGGGACUAUAUAAGAAUCAAUGAAGCUGUCACUAUCACGAACUACCCCACGAUCUGGCAUAUUGGGUACAAUCGCAGAUAAAUACGGUAUAAGCACCAUGCCUACACAAUAUCUAUCAUUUACCCAUGGAUGCAAUGGACUAAUGGUAUACGAUCCUAAACAUGUAUAUAAUUCCAAUCUAACUAAGCCAAGUAUAUAACCAUGAUAAACUAAGAAAAAUAUAAUCUUGAAUAUAAACAAGUAGAGCAAAGUCAUAAGCAAUAUAUUGAAGUAAAACAAAGUCAUAUUCAUAAUAUUGAAGAACAAAGAUGAACAAUUAGAAGAACAAUUAGAGAAUUACCAAGAAUCCUCCUGACACAUCCGGAAACCAAUCGAAGAUUGACUCCUUCUAAUUCUAAUCCUAUGUAGCUAUGCUAAUCUAGAUAUCUAAUUGAUGUGGUGGCUCUAGGCUUGAUCAGAGGCUUCUUCUCCCUUGAUGAAUAAUGAAUUAGGGUUGAGAGGCUCUCUCCUCCAGGGGCCAGGGGGUCUGGUUUUAUUGUCCCUUCAAGUGAAUAUGGGCCGUUGGAUCAAACCGACAUUGAAUGAACGGUUAUCCUUGAUCCUUUAGGUCGGUGGAGCUUAAUCUCGGAAGAGAGUCCAGAUUGGACUCUGAAGGGGGGCGGGCGCCCUGGGCCAGGCCCCGUUCGGCCUUCGCUUCGUUCCCGGGGCUUCUGGAGUCUUCUAGAUGUAAGAUAAUUACGCGGCACGUUAAUAUCUCUAUGUAAUCCCGACGUGUGGGCCUUUCUUCUGUAUUUCCUGAUAACCCCCUGCAGAAAUAGACAAACACCAAAACUCAUGGAAUUCUAUCAGAUAAAACCCUAAGUCUAGAUGUUGAUUUCAUUUGGAUCCUUUUCUUUGUUUAUUUGAUAAUUAAAUUUGAUACUUAAGGACCGUCAACAAUGAGCAUGGAAUUUAUUUCAUAGCCACUUCGUUUACUCCAUGCUCAUAUGCAACAUCUUCUCAAUCUAUUGGUCUCUCCAACAUCACCACAUUCGAGAUCUCCAACCCCCUCUUCCUUUCUAUUUAUAAAUACUUUAAAAGGGCAGUUGUCGAUGCAUAUGUCUAUAUUAAAUAUGGCAGAUCUCGUUGAGUUGAUCUUGAUAUAGGUCAGCGUUGGAGGGGAAACCACUUCGCUGACAUAAAUUGAUGGUUUCCCAAGGACAAGCUUAGUGUCCUAAAAUAAGCACUAAUCAGAUCGUAAGAUGAGCUUUUAAUUAUUUACAACAUUACCUUAUGUAUUGAGCAUACAAGGAUAAUUGUAAAAAAUUCCUUCGGGUAUUCUUGUCACUAACCUUUCCAGGAUUGGAGCAAGAAGAUCGGAUGAAUGACAAGCACAAGGUAUGUCCAACCAAUCAUCAUACAACAUUGAAUUAAACUCAUCCAAACUUGAAAUUUGCAAAAUUCAAGCUUGGGGGAGUACUUUACAUAAAAACAUCCUUUGCCAUGUUGCUAUAUUGGUUGUCCCUACCUUUGAGACAUGCUCAAUUUGUUAAAUACUAAUCACACUACUUUAUCUCCACUUGAGUAGAUCUCUAUAAAUGCUCUCAUGCUACCUUUAUUUGCUUUAGUAUAUGUCUAGGUUUGGAGUAGUUUCAUUUAUCUCUUAAUUAAGCAUGGUGCUUAGUUAGGAAUGAUGAUCUUACUUCCAAGGGAUUUUAAUUAAGCAUGGUGCUUAGGUUAAAAUGCCCUCCUAAAUCAAAUUAGACAUGGUGUCUAGGUUGAUUUUUGAGCCGAUAGUAUGCUAUAGUGGAUAUUGGAUAUUUUAUUGGACUAACCCCUGCAGAAAAACUUUCAAUAUCGACCUGGGAAGUCCUGAGAUAAACUCACAUUGGAGACAAAGAGAGAGACACAUGAAGGUUAACAAUUUACACUAGGAAAACAUAGCUCAUAAGAGAUGAUCCAUGAAGGGUGCCACAAACACGAUGCACAACCGCUAAGAAAGGAAAGCUUCCACAAGGUGAUACUGUACCAUCACUCUUCAAGUAAGGUAACAUCUUAAGGUACUUGACUGUCACUUUUAUAAGCUUCUCCUUGGUUCUGGCAUUCACAUGAAUACAAGAGACAAACAUGUAUGAUCUACAACUCUAGAUUAACCAACCCAAUCGAUUCAAUAUGUUUAGUCCUUCCACCUUUGUGAUCCCACACUCCUAAUCAGAUGAACUAAAAUGUUGCACACUCAAUCUUUGGAAGAUAUAUAAAAAACACAUAAAUAUAGUAGAUUAUCUUUCCAUUAGGUUGAGCGAUCUGAUCUGACAAAUGCUUUAAAUGCUACACUCAUGAUCUUUUUAUCCAUCAACUUUGUCUUGCUCACUAUGCUUAAGGUUAGAGAAGAACAAAUACAGGGCCCAUGCACUUGAUCUCUACCUUGUCUCUUUGAGCAAGUACACUUCGAGCAAAAUAUGAAGGAGAUUUACAACUCCCAGACUCCACCAAGUGAAGAACUUGGAUCUACAAGCACAAACACACUGGACAUACUGGACACUCAGGCAAUCACUGCCCUGAGAUGCUUGAGGACGUAAACUUCAUCAUCAUCAUCAACAACAACAACUACAACCGUCCUCAACAAAAUUAAGGUUGGAAUCAACAGAGGCCUAACUACUCAGGUAAUUAUCAAGGUAAUAAUUCUUACAAUAAUAAUAAUAAUUUUCUACCUCUGAGAGAGUUAGUGUCUAAUCAAGGAAAGCUAAUGGAUAACCUAUCUAAGAAAUUGGUAUCUAAUGAUAAAAUGUUAGAAAAUAUAAAUAAUAGAAUGGAUAAUUUCUCUACUGCCAUCAAGAAUCAAAUUAGCUUUAAUAAAAUGAUUGAAUCUUAGUUAAAUCAAAUAGCUGAUGUUGUUCCUGCUACUAACCCUGGUAUACCAUCACAACCGGAAGGAUUAGAAUCUACAAAUCUUGUAGACAUGUUUGAUGCAGGUAACUACGGGAGUAACCCCGUUGUGGAAGUAAUUGCUGACCUUCUGCCGGUCAAGAGAGGCGAUCCAAGACGCCUCGUCAUCCCGAUCUCCAUUGGCAUGGUGGACUUCCUAGAAGCACUCUGCGACUUUGGCUCCAGUGUCAACAUUAUGCCCAGGGUACUCUAUGAAAAAAUCUUUAUGCCCAGGGUACUCUAUGAAAAAAUCUUUACACAUCCUUUACUAGAAAUAACCAUGUGUUUGCAGCUUGCAGAUCGGACACUAAGUUUCCCAAAGGGAAUAUUGAAGAACCUCUACGUUCGAGUUGGUACCUUGUACGCUCCAGUAGACUUCAUCGUGAUAGAGACUGGUACUGAUGAGAGGGCACCAUCAUCCUAGGGAGGCCAUUCCUAAACACCUCGGGAGCUGUCAUCUACGCUAGUGCUGCCAAGAUCAGUUUCUACAUCAAGAGGAGGAAGGAGACGUUUUCCUUCAAAAACAACACUACACAAAUCUCAGAGUAAUCCCGACAAGAACCAAGGAAGAGGACCAACAGGAGGAACAAGAACAAGCAAAUGUGGACCGAGUCAGCUAAGAUGGUCACUGUAGUUCAAGGAGGUCAAGAUCGUCGAUUUAAGUCACCAUUCCUGACCAAAAAGGACGACCUAGUUAUGCCAAGCAUCCAGUGCUCCAUUAAUGGAUACAACUUGCAGAAGACGCUUUGCGACACCGGGUCAGGCGUCAACAUAAUGGCCGCAGUCACCUAUCAGCUCCUGUUCGGAACCAUGCCCCUAAAACUGACAUACAUUCAGCUCUAGAUGGCAGAUUAGACAUUUCGAAACAUUGAAGGUAUAGUAACUGAUGUCCCUGUCAAAAUAGACGAUCAUUUUGUCUAUACAGAUUUUCAGGUUAUUGACAUGGGAGAAGACGAGUAUGAUCCACCCAUUAUCCUGGGGAGACCGUUCCUCAGCACCGUUAAAGCAAUCAUCUACAUUGGAACCAGAGAAGUCCACAUACACUUCCCCUCUGAGAAGGUACGUCGCUAUUUUACUGACCUUAACUAUAUAGUUGAAGACUCUAAGCAGGUUAGGACAAGAAGAAGACGACGCAACCGCAACCAGAGAAGGCAAAUCAUCAAGGACAGAUGGGCAAACUAUGAAGGAGAAGUCGUAAGGUCUAAAGACAUACAACUUGAACAGAACUAUUCUAAGGAGACCAUAGCACCGAGUCAGGUGUGGAGAGAGAAGAUAGUUAUACACGAAGAGGAGGCGCCGCCGGAACCACCGACUACGCCAUCCAAUGAAUCCCAGGACGACUGAGAAUACGGAGAGUCCCGUUCGGAGGACUUAAAAACACCAAACGCCUUGCCAAGAGGUAAACUUGGAAGUUAUCUUUUUCCUUUCAAUUAUUUAAAAUAGUUUGCUUAGUUAAUCAGGUUCAUAUCAUCUCAAAAAGAAAAUAAAAAUGUUAAAAAUAGUAAGCCCCAUGUGAGUAUGCUCAUGGCAUAAAACCCAUAAGUACAUUCACUGUGGUGGCAUAAAAAUAAAAUAAAUAUAUUCCUGUAAUAUAAAAAUAAAAAUAUAAAAAUAAAUUUAUGAUCCUAUUAAAAAGAGUAACAUUUAUUGAGGAGGCUCAACAUGAUAAAGGCUAGAUAUUUAUGCUAACACUUAACUAGUUCCACAAAGCUUUGUUGUCUAUUUGAGCUCCACAGAAUUCAAUGAUCAAAGAAGACUAGCAGACGGAGGACAUCCUUGUUGAUAUUUGGUAACACAAUUAGAAAAUGAUCCGCAAGCGCACGGAUAUCGGUGAGCAUUUCACCCGGGAGGUUAUCCAGAGUUAUCAUAUUUAUAUUUUUACCACUGGGAGAAAGGGUGCAUCUGACUAACCAAAUCUAUUGCUACUACCCCUUUAGGCUACAAAGAAUGUCUCUCGAUGUGAGUGAUGUAUAGAGAAGACUGCAACCGUAGUCUCGUUCUAACCUUGGUAAGGAUGAUCUACUGUUCUAUUGGGGAGGCUCACGGAAUCUAGACAACACAAAGGAUGUUCGACCCGCACCUAUAAACCUACCCGUCCUGCUAACAAGAUGUGGGAUACAAAGGUAACUCGGAAAUGUCACGUUCCUCGCUACUACCACGGUCCAGCUAGUCAGGGGAUAUCUAUGAGUACCCUAGCCUAAACACCACGUUUACGCUAGCAAGUGAUUACUCUAAUACUCAACCGGAAGAGGAUUAAAGUAAACUCAUAAACCAAAGAACAAUAAAACAAGAACUUACUAGUAUUAGAAGUCGAAUUACUGAAGAAUCUUAGAACCAAGCCUCGGGUUAGGAGACUUGAUCCCGUAGGUACAACUCGGAGUAGACACCGACAGGCCGGCCUUCCUCCGAUCUACACCUCCACUCUAUCUCUCUCAAUCUAGUAGAAACUAGAAGAUCUAUUUCUACUUACAUUGGUUGCUAAGCCUAAAAAGAAAUAUUAUUUAGAGAAGAGGUUUUCCUUCGAGGGCACCCCUCAAUCUCUAUGAUAAUUUCUUGUCUCCUCCAGGGGCCAAGGGGCCUUGCUUAUAUAGUCCUCCCCUUCUAUGCGUUUUUGGGUCGAUAGGCGAGGUGGUACUAUGUUUUUCUUGAUCCAAUAGGUCGGUGGAAUAUCCCGAGCGAAAGAGUCCUGAUUUGGCUCCAACAGGGGGGCGGGCGCCCAGGCUACUAGGGCGGGCGCCCUGGGCCUGGCCCCUUUCGGGCUCCGCUUCCUUCCCGUGGCUUCUGGACUCUUCUAGAUGGUAGAAAAUUGCGCGGUGGGUUGAUAUCUCUAUGUAAUCCCAACAUGUGGGCCUUUCUUCCUUAUUUCCUGAUAACCCCCUGCAGAAAUAGACAAACACCAAAACUCGUGGAAUUCUGUCAGAUAAAACCCUAAGUCUAGAUGUUGAUUUUAUUUGGAUCCUUUUCUUUGUUUAUUUGAUAAUUAAAUUUGAUACUUAAGGACCGUCAACAAACUCCCCCAAGCUUACCUCUUGCUCGUCCCUGAGCAAGGAUGAACUCAAGAGUUUCUACAGUGGUUUCAUUUCUUAGAAGUACACACGCAUUUAAGCAAGAUCUCAUCUCUGAGUUAAAAUAAACUGUUAAGACUUAAAACUUACUUACUUUACCUACACCAUAGGACUUGUAACCGUCACUUCUGUCUUGAGUGGUUAAAAGAUAGAACAGUCUAGUCAAGUGCCAUGUCUCUCAUUCUUGAUCAGCUAUAGCUCUGGGGUUUUUGCAGAUUUUCAAAUAAAACUCAGAAAUUCCUUGUAUGAUUCUCUCAGGUCUCUCUUUUGUGGUAUUUUUGGAUCCUUACCAAGGCAGUGAUCGUAUAUGCCUUCUCUCAAGAUAUGUGGUAUUUGUGGUAUGAAGCAUAGUGACAUUGUCUUCUCUCUCACCCUACUCUAAUAAGGCUCUAAUAUCUGGAGCUCAUAGGUGGGAGAUAAAGUAUACAUACUUACAAGACAUUUAUUGCAUAGUCAAACCAUGGAUCCAAAGAAACAAAUCAAUAAGCCAAAUCAAGAUGUGCAUGUGAAUGGUGUAUGGUGAUGAUGGUGAUAAUGGUGGUGGAAGUCUAAUUCUACUUUGCUCUUUGAGGGGAUACAUACCUUCCUUGCUUUUGAAACUUUAUGAGGAGAAUGAGAUGCUCUAUAUUUUCUUUCUCUUUCCUCUCAGGUGGGUAUCUUGUACCCCUAAUUCUACUGUCGGACACUUGUCCAUUUUUACCUCUCGUCUCACUUUUUUUUCUUUUUCUUCGAGGUUCCGGGCACUUGCCCCUUUUUAUUUCCUCGUAUAUUAUUUUUUUUCUUCUUCUUCUUUUUUUUCUCUUUUUUUUUCUUUCUAGAGCACUCAUCUCCUGAAAUAAUGUAGCAAGUGGUAGUAACCAAAAUAACUGGAGCAUUUAUUUCUCAGGGAAUAAUAGGGAUAGGAAAAUGUUUUUGGCUAUUCUCUCCCGGAUUAGGAGUAGAAUAAUUUUGGGUAAAACUGGAGAUAGAAAUGAGUGGAUAUAUGUGGAUGGUACUUCCGGAGUAGAAGUAGCAUGUAUGAGUGAACGUGCAAGUGAAUCUUGAUUUAACCACAUGACAAGCUCCUAAGGGUCUACACAGCUUGACCACACUCAAUGCUCAUAAGCAGUAAAUAGUAAAUGUGUGGCUCAAGGUCUAGCAAGCAUGUAUAUAUGGCUGUGGUAGCAAUUUAAACUCUCAUCAUACAGGAACUCAUCAUGUGUUAUUUUAAAGAUUUUUCAAAGAUAAAAUUCUCCAGAAUUCUAGCAUCUCUAGGAACAGAUAAACAGCAGCUCAACCUUCCCAUAUCGUAUCCGUUAACAACUUAGACUUCAGAUCAAGUUUUCAUCCCACAAGUUUAGGUCUAAAGCAAGCCUUAAAUUAUAACAGUUAUAUCUAAACUUGAGAGAGAACUUAAAAUUUGCAAAUUAGGCAGAGCAACUAUUUAUCAUAUCCAUGCUUGAGUUUUAUUUAGAUACAAAUUAGCAUAGCUACUUUAUUUAUUUAUUAAACACACUAAGCAAAAGACAUAUAUAUAAGCAUAAAAUCUUUAUUUGGUUUUCCAUAGUUUAUGUGUAUUUAUAUUCUAAAAUAAUAUAAGUAUAAAGAUAGAUAGAAAUACUUCUCGAGAUAAAUGGGGGUGCUCUCCCCCAAGCUGAAUUUUGACGUAAUUUCUCUUGAUGUAGCUAGCUGGUGGCAGAGGUGUAUUUGAAAGUCAGCAGCAUUCUGACAGCGUUUAGAAUGUCCUCCGUCUGCUAGUCUUCUUGAUUCUUAAAUUCUGUGGAGCUCAAAUAGACAACAAAGCUUGUGGAACUGAUUAAGUGUUAGCAUAAAUAUCUAGCCUUUAUUAUCUUGAGACUCCUUAAUAAUUAUUACUCCCUGUUUUUAUAUUUUUGUUUUUAUAAAGUAGAAAAAUAUUUAUUUUAUUUUUAUGCCACCACAGUGAAUGUACUUAUGGGUUUUAUGCCACUCGUCUACUCACAUGGGGCUUACAGUUUUUUUUUCACAUUUUUAUUUUCUUUCUAGGAUAAUACGAACAUGAUUAACUAAGUAAACUAUUUGAAAUAAUUAAAAGGGAAAGGAUAACUACCAAGUUUACCUCUUGGCAAGGCGUUCGGUGUUUUUAAGUCCUCCGAGCGGGACUCUCCAUUUUCUUAAUCGUCCUGGGAUUCGCUGGAUGACGUAGUCGGUGAUUCCGGUGGCGCCUCCUCUUCGUGUGUAACUAUAUUCUCUCUCCACACCUGACUCGGUGCUACGGUCUCCUCAGGACAGUUAUGUUCAAGUGGUAUGUCUUCAGUCCUUAUCACUUCUCCUUCGUAGUCUACCCAUCCGUCCUUGAUGAUUUGCCUCCUCUGGUUGCGGUUGCGAUGUCUUCUUCUUGUCCUGACCUGCUUAGAGUCUUCAACUAUAUAGUUAGGGUCAGUAAAACAGCGGCAUACCUUCUCAGAGGAGAAGUGUAUGUGGACUUCUUCGGUUCCAAUAUAGAUGAUGGCUUUGAUAGUGCUGAGGAACUGUCUUCCAAGGAUGGUGGGUGGAUCAUAUUCAUCUUCUCCCAUGUCAAUAACUUGAAAGUCAUCUAUAUCUGAAUGUAUAUUGGUUGUAGGGGCAUGGUUUCAUGCAGGAGCUGAUAAGUGACUACGGCCAUUAUGUUGACGUCAGAUCCGGUGUCGUAGAGUGUCUUCUGAAAAGAGUAUAUGUUGUUUGUGCAUUCGAUUCUUGGAACACCAGGGUCGUCCUUCUUGAUCAAGAAAGGUGACUUGAGUCGACGAUCUUGACCUCCUUGAGCUGCAGUGACCAUCUUAGCUGACUCGGUCCACAUUUGCUUGUUCCUGUUCCUCCUGUUGGUCCUCUUCCUUGGUUCAUGUCGGGAUUGCUCUGAAAUUUGUGGUCUUGUUCUUGAAGGAAAGUCUCCUUCUCUCCCUUGAUGUAGAAACUGAUCUUGGCAGCAUUAGCGGAGAUGACAGCUCUGGUGUUUAGGAAUGGCCUCCCUAAGAUGAUGGGUACCCUCUCCUCAGUACCAGUCUCUAUCACCACGAAGUUUGCUGGAGCGUAUAAGGUACC
rnacentral:lncRNA from 1 species